rnacentral:rRNA from 1 species
ACGAACGCUGGCGGCGUGCUUAACACAUGCACGUCGAACGGAAAGGCCCUGCUUUUGUGGGGUGCUCGAGUGGCGAACGGGUGAGUAACACGUGAGUAACCUGCCCUUGACUUUGGGAUAACUUCAGGAAACUGGGGCUAAUACCGGAUAGGAGCUCCUGCUGCAUGGUUGGGGUUGGAAAGUUUCGGCGGUUGGGGAUGGACUCGCGGCUUAUCAGCUUGUUGGUGGGGUAGUGGCUUACCAAGGCUUUGACGGGUAGCCGGCCUGAGAGGGUGACCGGCCACAUUGGGACUGAGAUACGGCCCAGACUCCUACGGGAGGCAGCAGUGGGGAAUAUUGCACAAUGGGCGGAAGCCUGAUGCAGCAACGCCGCGUGCGGGAUGACGGCCUUCGGGUUGGAAACCGCUUUCGCCUGUGACGAAGCGUGAGUGACGGUAAUGGGUAAAGAAGCACCGGCUAACUACGUG